rnacentral:rRNA from 1 species
CAGCCGCCGCGGGAAUACGUAGGGUGCGAGCGUUAAUCGGAAUUACUGGGCGUAAAGCGUGCGCAGGCGGUUCGUUAAGACAGAUGUGAAAUCCCCGGGCUUAACCUGGGAACUGCAUUUGUGACUGGCGAGCUAGAGUAUGGCAGAGGGGGGUAGAAUUCCACGUGUAGCAGUGAAAUGCGUAGAGAUGUGGAGGAAUACCGAUGGCGAAGGCAGCCCCCUGGGCCAAUACCGACGCUCAUGCACGAAAGCGUGGGGAGCAAACAGGAUUAGAUACCCCCGUAGUCCCUGUCUCUUAUAC